CGGGAGAUUGGUUUAGCGAUUGCUAGGGCGCAACGUCGUGCACGUUUGUAGUCGGACCGUCAAAGUCGGCUCCACCAAAUCGAUAGUUAUCAUCUCAUUGAAAGAUCGGGACACCCUCGCCUCUAUCAAGUGGUAUCAGUUUUCAGGUUGCUCGGUGAGAAUUUCCAGUUAGCCCUUGAUUAGAUUUAUUUUCUUACCUAUUGUCCAAGAAAAAGCCACAAAACAAAAGUUAGAUCUAUUUAUCCUUUGUCAUAGCCACUCUGAGCCUUUGCAAUUUUCUUUUUAUUGUUUGCAUUAUUGAAUUAUCGGUUGCAUCGUCGUGUCGAGUUGCUGGUCUUAGUGUCUAGUUCGUUUAGAGUUUCGAGUUCUGUUCACUUUAGUCACGCCACGACUGCAUCGUUAUAGUUUCCCUUGUCCACCACACCAUCCAUCAAUUUCCACCACGUGCUAACCAUAGUUCACUGUCAUAAUCAUAGUUGAGAUCGUUUAUAUCUUCGCUUGAUCCCAUCUGCAUCUUAUCUAGUUUGUUUUGGAAAGAGGGAGAGAGAAAAAAAAAGAGAAAAAAGAAAAGAAAAAGAUAGAGAAAAAAAGAGAAAAAAAGAAAAAGAAGUCAGAGAAAAAAAGAGAGAAAGAAAAAGAAAAAAAAAGUGUGAGGAAAAAAAAAGAGAGAAGAAAAAAAAGAAAAUUCGGAUUUAUCUAGACUCAAUCUCGUAGUUGAAUUCGGAUUGGAAUCUGUUUUCUGCACUGUUCAGUAAAACAGGCAUAACUUCCUCAUACGAAGUCCGUUUUGGCUUCGCGAGUACUCAAAUGAAAACUAGCGACGAGCCGCUUCUAAAUAGUUGCAGAGGCUAGUUCAAUAUUUGACACCUAAAAAUCGGCUUCUAAAUAGGUCUUUUUGCCCUCCGAAGUUCAAAGACACAUCUUAUUCCAGUUUUUUAGGCCAGUUUUAGAAUUCUUUGACUCCUCAUAUCAAUUCGGAAUUGAGUGAUUCUUUUUGCAAUGGCAAGCUUGAGUUAGUAGCAUUCUUUGAAAAAAGUUAUCAGAAAAUUGGCUCAAACUUUUCAAGAGGAAAGUUGGAGAGAGAGUUGUUGUAUAUCCUGCUUGGCAGUUGUUUUUCAUCAUUAUCUUUACUGCCGUUGUGAUCUUCACUUAUAUCUUGCUGUCCCGAGCUACUUAGUAUCCUUCAUUGAUGCUAGUUGUGCUACGCCGGGACCUCAUUAGUGUUCUAGGCUCGCGUCUCUAGUCUGGUCUAGCCUAGGACCAGCACAGUACCGUCGUUGAGCGUUUAUUCAACAUUGCAUCUUUGAAUUGAUUAUUGCUAAUCUUUUGCUACCAUAUAUAGCCAACCCAGCUCCACAUAUUUCUACACCGUGUAUACGUACGUUCUCCUGGCAAUCGCUUUACACAAUCUUCGGAGUUAUUUGACACCGCUGGUUGCCUGUCACCACCUGCCGCAUGGUAAGAACUUGUAAGGUAUUGAUAUUUGCUUUACUGUGAGCACUUUACAACCACAUCCUAGUAGUUCAUCGAUACAUUAUUCUCGAAUUUUGUUUCUUGUUUCUACUAAUCAUGACAGGUUCCGGAGAUAGAAGUUCUUGGACGACGGACACAUCAUCACCAUCACGAGAGUUGGGACAACACACACAAGCACAUGGUCAGGUUAUCUCUUUACCGUCAUUUGAGGGUAGAUUUAAUCCUGGUAUUUAUCUAGCUUGGGAGCUUGAAGUAGAACAAGUUUUUAGUCACCAUGACUUUUCUGAACUUGAGCGAGUACGAGCUGCCACUAGAGCAAUUACUGGUUUUGCUUCUGUUUGGUGGAGUGUGCAUUGUAAGAAAAACAUUGAUAACCAACCCACAACUUGGAAAGAUUUGAAAGAUGUAACGAGACAACAAUUUUCCCUGCUUACUAUCGUCGUGAAUUGCUUCGCAAAUUUGAACAAGUUAAACAAGGCAACAACUCUGUUCAUGCUUACUACCAAGAGUUCAAAUCUUAUAUGCAUCAUUGUGACAUAGAAGAAUCUGUGGAUGAUACAAUGAAUAGAUUUUUUGGUGGUUUGAACCAUGAUAUUCAAGCACGAUUUCAGUAUAUUCCUCAUUGCAUUACUGGUAUUUAUGUUCGUGCUUGUACCUUUGAGAGACAGUUACAGGAGGAUGCAUUGGGUGACUACAACAACUACUAUUUUAGUUCAUGCUCACCACCACCGCUUGGUUCCUCCACCGUUGCACCUACUAGAGCAGCCACACCUCAGAUUGUGAGCGCGACAUCAUCUCAAGAGUAUGGUACAUUGCCAUCAUCCGUACCUACAUCAGCUACAUCUUUGCGACAAGGUAACUGUAAAGGUAUUGAUGAUAUAACUUCACAUGAGAAUGAUGCAUGCCUAGUUAACUUGAAUACAUCAUGUGUUGAGUUACCUGUUGAUUUGAGCGCAUCACCUAUUUUAGAGAAUCUAUUUUACCUGUCAUGAAUGCGUCAUGUGAUCAAACAACUGAAAUACCAAUAAUUUUGAGUGCACCCAAUGAAUUAAGUGUUGAUGCAAAAGAACCAAUGUUUAAUCAUUUUGAUAUGACCUCUAAUCUUGGUGAUGAUUCUGUGUCAAAUGACUUAUUGCAUGUUUGCUUAUUUAAGCAUGUUGUAGCAUGUAAAUUUGAUGCAAGCAAGGUUUACUCACCAAUGUUGGGAUGGUUUAAUGAUGAAUAUUGUCAAUCUUUUCAUAUCAAUAAGAGCUUCACUUAUAUGUGCAAACUGAGUUGCAAUACUUUCAUGCCUUCUACUUCUUGUGAUAAUAUUUUGGCUUUAUAUUUUAUUAACUAUGAAAGUUACUCAUGUAUACAUGUGUCAUAUGUGCAAAAUCCACGGGAAGUAAAAAUGGAUGACAUAUACAUAUACAACACGUACACCUUGUCUCUUUUGUUAGCCACAUUUCAGAUUAAGCAACGCCGAGGACGGCUUUAUUUUCAAGAAGGGGAGGAUGAUGAGGACAUGACUACCUUGGAUACGACCAAAAAUAUUGCAUACAUGCAUAUUUGUCAGGUGAUUUCUAGUGCAAACUAUUCAAUAAUCUAUUUAUGUUAUCCAGAACAAAAAUACUUCACACACUUUUGUGUGUUGUCUAAUUGCAGGUGUAUGGGACAUUUGUACAAUCCACACAUGAAGAUAAGGCAAAAGGAGAAGUUUAGGUUCUGUUCAAAAAGUCCUCUCACGUCACUUUUGGGCCAACAGAAAAUAGAGUCCAAGUCUCUCACGUUCUGGAUUCAGAUUCGGACUGCACAGACAUACCUGACUCAAAACGCCAAUAACUUUUUCAUACGGACUCCGAAUUGGGUGAUUCUUUUUUUGUUGGAAAGUAGAUUUCGUCCUCUUUCCAACCCAAUUGGAUUCACAUUUAAAUUCGUCCGGAGCGUUGAGAUAUGGGCGAAACAAUCUGAUGCUGCAGCAGAAUCUGAGUCAAACAACAAGUCCAAAGGUGUUGCAUCACCUCCACUUGGGCCCAUGAGCCUUGUACGACCUAGGGUUGGUUUUAGGCUGCUUUGGGACGUCCUCCCACCUCCUUGGCCGCCACCCCUUGCUGCUAUAUAAGUAGAUCCAUCUAGUAGCUUUUCCUUGGGAUUUGCUUAGUUAAAAGUUAGCCAUUGCAACUUCGUGUACUUCGUUUGUGUCCAACGACCAGACCAAGACCGUUUUCGGAUCCCCACCUUUAUCAAUACUUCAUCUAUAUUCGCAAUAUUCAGAUUGCAUUAUCAUAUUCUUGCUUGUUCUUCGAUUGCGUGCAGGAAUAGACCUUCAUGGUCAGGCUGAUUGUGCUGCCAGCAUCGUCAGUAACCUCGGGAGAUUGGUUUAGCGAUUGCUAGGGCGCAACGUCGUGCACGUUUGUAGUCGGACCGUCAAAGUCGGAUCCACCAAAUCGAUAGUUAUCAUCUCAUUGAAUGAUCGGGACACCCUCGCCUCUAUCAAGUGGUAUCAGUUUUCAGGUUGCUCGAUGAGAAUUUCCAGUUAGCCCUUGAUUAGAUUUAUUUUCUUACCUAUUGUCCAAGAAAAAGCCACAAAACAAAAGUUAGAUCUAUUUAUCCUUUGUCAUAGCCACUCUGAGCCUUUGCAAUUUUCUUUUCAUUGUUUGCAUUAUUGAAUUAUCGGUUGCAUCGUCGUGUCGAGUUGCUGGUCUUAGUGUCUAGUUCGUUUAGAGUUUCGAGUUCUGUUCACUUUAGUCACGCCACGACUGCAUCGUUAUAGUUUCCCUUGUCCACCACACCAUCCAUCAAUUUCCACCACGUGCUAACCAUAGUUCAUUGUCAUAAUCAUAGUUGAGAUCGUUUAUAUCUUCGCUUGAUCCCAUCUGCAUCUUAUCUAGUUUGUUUUGGAAAGAGGGAGAGAGAAAAAAAAGAGAAAAAAGAAAAGAAAAAGAUAGAGAAAAAAAAGAGAAAAAAAAGAAAAAGAAGUCAGAGAAAAAAAGAGAGAAAGAAAAAGAAAAAAAGUGUGAG
rnacentral:lncRNA from 1 species